rnacentral:misc_RNA from 1 species
GUGAAUCAUCGAAUUUUUGAACGCAAAUUGCACUCUUUGGUAUUCCGGAGAGUAUGCCUGUUUGAGGGUCAGUUUAUAUAAAAAUCGGUGUGUUUGCUGCCUUUCUUGGUGACGUACCGGAUGGGGUUUGUGUAGCCUUCGGUUAAGUGACAUAAAUUUUUGCAUGAUGUUUUCUAACGUAUGUAAAUGUUUUUACGUACGGUUGAGAUAUUGAAUACUAGGUGCGGUCAG